rnacentral:lncRNA from 1 species
UGAAAAUGCGUUUGGCAGCUGAGGUAAUUUCAGGAAAUCUCUUUGGUGAGGACUUUGCUGUUUGGAUUAUACAACAUUUCUGAGGAAAAAAGCCUCAGUGAAGCUCGUGCUCCAGGUGGCUCUUGGUGUCCCCGACUUUACAUUCAUCUUCUCUUCCAACUGCUUGUUCCGACCUCCAGCAUCAGAUGUGAAGAAAACGGUCUUGCAGGUUCUCCAGGAGUGGGGCUGUGGCCCUUGACCCUUAGUCUCCAUGACCAGACUGCUGAUAUCCGCUGCCAAACCUCCCUGACCGGAGUUGUGUGCUGUCCAGGACCUACCACUGACCAAAUCC